CUUCUGCCUGGUCCUUGCCAAUAGAGGAGUCACAAUCUCAAUGGUGGACUGGAAUCGUGCAUGAGAGCCUCAAUCACUUUUGUGGACUGUGUCUCCUUAGUCACAGCCUUACAGGUAUGCUGAGUCAUGGUCUGAAAGUCACCAGCCCUCCUUUUGACUGGUUCCACAUGUGAAAAGUCCACCCUUUGCCUCCAGUUGUGAGAUUCAGUUCCUCAGCUGUGGGCUGUGUUCAUGUGGAAAGAUGACAAUCUUGACUGUUGGGUGAGUAUGCAUGAGUGUCAUAUUCUCAUCCGUGUUCUCGGUCCUGUUAGGACACUCUCUGUACCACCCGAGGGCUUUAUACAUUAUGUAUGAAAGUCACAAUCUACUCUGACACAUUUGUACUGAUAUGGACCUGUGAUUGUACCCGUGGCCCUAAGCCCAGGUAUGAGUCAACAUCUCUUCAAUUAGGAGAGUCCAGAUUGGAAAGAUUUUACCUGCCUAUAAGCUGGGUUUAUUAAACAGUCACUAACCCAACAGUGGCCAGGUGUUCACAUAUGACAGUCACAAUUUUAACUUUGAACUGUGUCUACUUGUGAGUUUCAGGACUUCAAAAUUGGACCCUGUCCAUGUGUGUGGGUGACUUUAAAGGUUGGCAGGUUGCACACACAAAAAACAAUCUCAUAUUUGUGCUGUGUCCUGUGAUGAGUUUGUACCACUUGACGGCUUUAUACUGUAUGUGAGGGAGUGGUAUAACU
rnacentral:lncRNA from 1 species